UACAUUAGUAAGAAUUAAAUAAUAGAUUCCAUGGUUCUUUCUAUGGGCAAAAUUGUCUAUGACUCAAAUGAUUUUCAAAGUUUUAAUGAUGAACACUUAAUCCAACUUUGUUUGGAUAACCAGUUAGCCCUGGGGUCCAUAGAAAAGGAGGCCUAUUUUUGUGCCUAGAUAUUAAAAGAAAAAUAAUAUAGAUGAAUAUGAAAAUAUUAUCAAAAU